UACGAAGGGGGCUAGCGUUGCUCGGAAUUACUGGGCGUAAAGGGCGCGUAGGCGGACAGUUUAGUCAGAGGUGAAAGCCCAGGGCUCAACCCUGGAAUUGCCUUUGAUACUGGCUGUCUUGAGUACGGGAGAGGUGAGUGGAACUCCGAGUGUAGAGGUGAAAUUCGUAGAUAUUCGGAAGAACACCAGUGGCGAAGGCGACUCACUGGCCCGUUACUGACGCUGAGGCGCGAAAGCGUGGGGAGCGAACAGG
rnacentral:rRNA from 1 species